rnacentral:rRNA from 1 species
GACGAACGCUGGCGGCGUGCUUAACACAUGCAAGUCGAACGGAAAGGCCCUGCUUUUGUGGGGUGCUCGAGUGGCGAACGGGUGAGUAACACGUGAGUAACCUGCCCUUGACUUUGGGAUAACUUCAGGAAACUGGGGCUAAUACCGGAUAGGAGCUCCUGCUGCAUGGUGGGGGUUGGAAAGUUUCGGCGGUUGGGGAUGGACUCGCGGCUUAUCAGCUUGUUGGUGGGGUAGUGGCUUACCAAGGCUUUGACGGGUAGCCGGCCUGAGAGGGUGACCGGCCACAUUGAGACUGAGGUACUGCCCAGACUCCUACGGGAGGCAGCAGUGGGGAAUAUUGCACAAUGGGCGGAAGCCUGAUGCAGCAACGCCGCGUGCGGGAUGACGGCCUUCGGGUUGUAAACCGCUUUCGCCUGUGACGAAGCGUGAGUGACGGUAAUGGGUAAAGAAGCACCGGCUAACUACGUG